rnacentral:tRNA from 1 species
GGAGAGGUGCCUGAGCGGUUGAAAGGGCUGGUCUCGAAAACCAGUGUACUCGUCAGGGUACCGUGGGUUCGAAUCCCACCCUCUCCG